UCUGUGAGUGUCUCCUCCUGGGGGUGCGGGGCCCUCUGCCCUCCGAAGGGCUUGUGGGUAAACUUGCGAUGAGCUAUUUCUAAGGUAGGAAAAGGAAAACUAGAUCACAGAGCCCUGGGGAAGGGCUGUGCUUGGCACAGAAAAGAAGUGAUCCUGUCAGCAGGCAGGAAGGCUGGGGGCUCCUCUCCGCAGCUGGGAUUGGGGCGGGCCAGCCCUGGGGGUAUUUCAUGGGCCCCAGGGGGCAGGCCUGCCAGGAGCAGACCCUGUCCUCUGAACCCAAUUCCUGAGUGUGUGAGCUCAGACAGGUCCUACAGAGGGCCCGAGGCGCCUACGGACUAGAGGCCACGCACACGAACUGCAAUGUUCUGUCUGUCUGUCUGUCUGUCUGUUGGGCUGAAUACCUGCCUUACUCAUCUGGGCCCUGAGUCACUUCGUUUAAAAUGCUGUUCCUGGAACAGAGCUGGGCAUCAGUGGGUGGGCCUGAGUCAUUUCUGCCGUCGGGAGCCCGCUCCAUGAGCCCAGGGAGCACCGAGGGCCUGAACGGGCCAGCCUCAUGGGCACGCGAAGCCCUGGGGGCGGGGGCGGGGGGAUUCAGGGCUUCGGUGCAGCCACGGUGCUUAGUGCACAAUAAUGGCCCUGUAAGUGUCACAGCUAUUACCAUUGCUGUGGUAAUUGUCGCUGUCAUUCUAAUCAGGAGAGAGGGACAUGGGUUCAGCACCCAGCAGCUCAGACGACAGCUCCUGAACAGAGCAAGGGGGCCAAGAGCACGCCUCACAUCAAGGGCACCUGGAUGCGAGAGGUGCGAGGAGAAGGCAGAACAGCAGAGGCUUUGUGGCAAGAUUCCUAAGCCCGGGAGAACCUCAGUCUAGCCAGAAGCCCAUUCCUUUGUCCCUUUCAGGGGCCCCAGACGGUGGGGAUCAUCCUGCCAGGACGUGCUAUAGGGCGCUGUUGUGGGCAUUGCCCGCCGUGCAGUGGACACAUCGGAACCUGACAGGCUUGAGUCUGCCUGCCACCCUGCUAAACGAGACUCAGGUCAAGUGACUUGCCCACGGUCACCCAGCUGUCGACUCCAGAUUUAAUCUGGAAAGCAACAGAAAAUCACCGCAGGCAGGUUUGCAGCCUGGGGCAGGACAGAGAGAAAGCAGCCUCGGGUGGGCAGAGGAGCUGAUCUCUAGAGACUGUGCUGGGCUGUGCCUAAUCCAGACACAACGCUAAUCCAAAAAUAGGUGUUGUGCCUGACCACAGGGUCUCCCAGAGAAGCUGCUGGGGAUGCAUGUGGGCAUGGAGACAUCCGUGCCUGGAGAACCAGAUCCUCGAGGAGUUGUCCAUGGGAAAGCACCCGUUUCGUGGGGCGUUCGUUUUUGCUACAGUCGCUCACGGGAGGAAACAGUUCACUCAUUCAUUCCAGAGACCUUCACUGAACGCCUCCUGUAUGCUGAUGCUUGCCUGGCACUGAGGUUUCAGAAAUAAAAAGGUGGAAGGAAAGAAACCCACGUUCAUUGUUGUUCCCUCUCUGUGUCACAGGUGAAACACGUGCUUUUGCCGGUUGGGGCAAAAACCUGCGUGCCAGCCAUGGUCCUCCGGCGCCUCCGUGCUGACUUUCUAGCCCGUGACCUCCGCCUUGUUACUUCACCUCUGCACAGCCUCCUUGCCUGGUUGCACUGAGGAAUAAGUGACGUCCUUCACAUAUGGCGCCCAGCCCAACGCCUGGCACGUGGAAGGCUGUUCAGGAAAGACGAGAUGAGGAAGCAGGUUCAGAGAGGUUAAGCCACUUGCCCAGGGACACGGAUUGCGUUUGAACCCAGGCCUGAGGAAGGCCAGCGUCCCAAGAAACCUGAGCCUCUCGGCUGCCUCUUCGUCUGGUCCCCGGUCCCCUGGCCUGACUGUUUGGCCACACUGGCUGGCUAGGUUUCUGGAGAGCCAUGCCCUACAGGAUCCCUGGGUUGGCCCAUCUGAAGACCUUGCAGGGUUCCCAGAGUGUCCUGAUCCCCAGCCGGGCGUAGGUCCCUUCUGGCAGGGUGCUCAGCGCCUCCCCCAAGUCCUCCGAGCAGAGCGAACAGUUUCUCCCACCAGCCUCUUGCACAGUGGUUGCGCCAUGGCUGGCAGCUGGGUUUAACGGUAAUGUUUGUUUUGAACUUGAUGAUGUUUGUUGGAGGAAAAUGCUUCGAAGGGAGGGGCAAGUGAGGCAGGGAGUCGGGCAGAGGGGGCUGCCCCCCCAGCCCCCCAGGCUGCUGAACCUCCCUCUGGGGGGUUCUCUCUACCUGGCGAGCUCCCCACCCCCCCCCCAGCCGUGUGCAGACCCUCGGCCAAAGCCACGGAGAAUGGGUGCCAGGGGCACCUGGCAGGUGAGCGGACGCAGGAGGCAGGGAUGAUGAUUGGUGUCUUUGCCAAGGUCAGCUGACUUGCUGGGCCAUCUUACGGGCGAAUCCCUUAACCUCUCCUCCGCAGCCUGAGAGCCAAAAUACGUGUCAAGUGCUUGUCAGACUUCUCAUGAGCAACUGUUCCUUUCGGCCUGGGACUGCUUCACUUAGCACUGAGAGUCCUGCGCCUUGAGAAACACCUCGGGCUUGGACAAACCAGGACAACUGCUCACCCCGUAAGCCUUUUCCAUUUCACAGGUGUGGAAAAAGUAAGAUUGGCAAAACUUCAAUUAUAUUUUAUUUAAAAAAAAUUUUUUUAUGAAUACAAUUUAUUGCCAAAUUGGCUUCCAUACAACACCCAGUGCUCAUCCCAACAGGUGCCCUCCUCAGUGCCCAUCUCCCACUUUCCCCUCUCCCCCUGCCCCCCAUCAACCCUUCUCUGUAUUUAAGAGUCUCUUACGGAUUGCCUCCCUCCCUCUCUGUUUGUAUCUAUUUUUUCCCCCUUUCCUUCCCCCAUGGCUUUCUGUCAAGUUUCUCAAACUUCAGUUUUAGAUGGUGAAGAAUCCUGCUGUCAUUGGUGUAAGACGAGUGCUUUGAAAAGCCCAGAGGUCCAUGCCAGAGGCCAGGGCAGGCACUGUGUCGGCCUCACAUGGAUCUUUCCAUCCCCUGAGGCUACCUGAGGUGGAAACAGGGACCCAGGAAUGAGCUGGCCCCGAGUGGGCUGUGGGCUCUGCGGCUGUGCCCGAGUGCUUUGGGGCUGGCUGGAUCAAGAAGUCUUUGAGAACGAGAGACAGCUCCCCUGGGCUCCUGGGCCCCACUGGGAAAGGGGCCCGCGGGGGGAGGCAGGAGCUCCGAGUCCCUACCUGCAGAGGGCCUGCCGCCUGAGCUGGCUGUCCCGGGCAGCUCUGUGGCACCACCCGGGUCAGCAAUCGUUCACGAAAUAAUGCUGAGGGAGCGCUCACUUUGU